rnacentral:rRNA from 1 species
CCUACGGGGGGCUGCAGUGGGGAAUAUUGGACAAUGGGGGGAACCCUGAUCCAGCCAUGCCGCGUGUGUGAAGAAGGCCCUCGGGUUGUAAAGCACUUUCAGUGAGGAAGAACGCCUGGUGGUUAAUACCCAUCAGGAAAGACAUCACUCACAGAAGAAGCACCGGCUAACUCCGUGCCAGCAGCCGCGGUAAUACGGAGGGUGCGAGCGUUAAUCGGAAUUACUGGGCGUAAAGCGCGCGUAGGUGGCUUGAUAAGCCGGUUGUGAAGGCCCCGGGCUCAACCUGGGAACGGCAUCCGGAACUGUCAAGCUAGAGUGCAGGAGAGGAAGGUAGAAUUCCCGGUGUAGCGGUGAAAUGCGUAGAGAUCGGGAGGAAUACCAGUGGCGAAGGCGGCCUUCUGGACUGACACUGACACUGAGGUGCGAAAGCGUGGGUAGCAAACAGGAUUAGAUACCCCUGUAGUC